GAAGUCUGAUGGAGCAACGCCGCGUGAGUGAUGAAGGUUUUCGGAUCGUAAAACUCUGUUGUAAGGGAAGAACCAGUACGUCAGGCAAUGGACGUACCUUGACGGUACCCAAGAAGAAAGUCCCGGCUAACUACGUGCCAGCAGCCGCGGUAAUACGUAGGGGACAAGCGUUGUCCGGAUUUACUGGGCGUAAAGGGCACGCAGGCGGUUUUUUAAGUCAGAUGUGAAAGGUACCGGCUCAACCGGUGACAUGCAUUUGAAACUGAAAGACUUGAGUAUUGGAGAGGCAAGUGGAAUUCCUAGUGUAGCGGUGAAAUGCGUAGAUAUUAGGAGGAACACCGGUGGCGAAGGCGGCUUGCUGGACAAAUACUGACGCUGAGGUGCGAAAGCGUGGGGAGCAAACA
rnacentral:rRNA from 1 species